rnacentral:rRNA from 1 species
UACGUAGGGGGCAAGCGUUGUCCGGAAUCAUUGGGCGUAAAGCGCGCGCAGGCGGUCCUUUAAGUCUGAUGUGAAAGCCCACGGCUCAACCGUGGAGGGUCAUUGGAAACUGGGGGGACUUGAGUACAGAAGAGGAAAGCGGAAUUCCACGUGUAGCGGUGAAAUGCGUAGAGAUGUGGAGGAACACCAGUGGCGAAGGCGGCUUUCUGGUCUGUAACUGACGCUGAGGCGCGAAAGCGUGGGGAGCAAACAGG